UGUAGGAGCUGGCUUGCCUGCGAUAGCGGAAUUUCAGUCGCUGAUAUGCCAGCUGACAGUCCGCUAUCGCAGGCAAGCCAGCUCCCACA
rnacentral:misc_RNA from 1 species